rnacentral:lncRNA from 1 species
GUUCAAAAGGUGCUUUCAUGACUUGAUCCAAACCCAGAAAUAGGUUCUUAAGGUGCUUUUAAAAGACUUGAUUUCAAACUAAAAAACAAGGUUCCCAAGGUGCUUUCAAAGACUUGUUCUCAACCCAGAAACAUGGUUCUUAAGGUGCUUUCAAAGACUUGUUCUCAAAAAAAGGUUUGAAAGGUGCUUUCAAAGACUUGUUCUCAACCCAGAAACAUGGUUCAGAAGGUGCCUUCAAAGACUUGUUCUUAGAGUAAAGGGUUUAAAAAAGGUGCUUUCAAAAGACUUGUUCUUAAACUCAAAAACAUGGUUCAGAAGGUGCUUUCCAAGGUAUGAUUUCAAGACAAAAAAGAAAAUUCUAAAAAGGUGCUUUUCAAAAAUUUGAUCUCAAACCAAAAAAGGCUUGAAAGGUGCUUUAAAAAUCUUUAUCUCAAACAAAUGCAAGGUCCAAAAGGUGCUUUCAAAAUCUUUAUCUCAAACCAAAAACAAGGUUCUAAUAAGGUGCUUUUAAAAGAUGUGAUCUCAAACCCAGAAACAUGGUUCCAAAAGUGCUUUCAAAGACUUGUUCUCAAACAAAAAAAUGGUUCAAAAGGUGCUUUCAAAAUCUUAAUCUCAAACCAAAAAAGGCUUGAAAGGUGCUUUCAAAAUCUUGAUCUCAAACCAAAUGCAAGGUCCAAAAGGUGCUUUAAAAAACUUGAGCUCAAACCAAAAACAAGGUUCUAAUAAGGUGCUUUAAAAGAUGUGAUCUCAAACCCAGAAACAUGGUUCCAAAGGUGCAUUCAAAGACUUGUACCCACACAAAAGGGUUUAAAGGGUGCUUUCAAAGACUUGUUCUCAAACCAAUAACAUGGUUCACAAGGUGCUUUUCAAGGUAUGAUUUCAUACAAAAAAAAGGUUCUUAAAAAGGUGCUUUGAAAAUCUUGAUCUCAAACCAAAAUAGGUUCAAAAGGUGCUUUAAAAAUCUUGAUCUCAAACCAAAUUCAAGGUUCUUAAAAAGGUGCUUUGAAAGACUUGAUCUCAAACCCAGAAACAAGGUUCUAAAGGUGCUUUCAAAGACUUGUUCUCAAAAAAAGGCUUCAAAAAAAGGUGCAUUCAAAGACUUGUACCCACACAAAAGGGUUUAAAGGGUGCUUUCAAAGACUUGUUCUCAAACCAAUAACAUGGUUCACAAGGUGCUUUUCAAGGUAUGAUUUCAUACAAAAAAAAGGUUCUUAAAAAGGUGCUUUGAAAAUCUUGAUCUCAAACCAAAAUAGGUUCAAAAGGUGCUUUAAAAAUCUUGAUCUCAAACCAAAUUCAAGGUUCUUAAAAAGGUGCUUUGAAAGACUUGAUCUCAAACCCAGAAACAAGGUUCUAAAGGUGCUUUCAAAGACUUGUUCUCAAAAAAGGCUUCAAAAAAAAGGUGCUUUCCAAGACUUGUACUCAAACAAAAAAGGGCUGAAAAGUUGUUUUUCAAGGAUUGAUCGCAAACAAACAAAAAGGUUUGAAAGGUGCUUUCAAAGAUUUGAUUUUAAACAAAAGAAAUUUUUAAGGUGUUUUCAAAGCCUUAGUCUCGAACGCAAAAAGCUUCAAAAGGUGCUUUCAAAUACUUUACCUCAAACCCUAAAAAAGUUUUCAAAGGUGCUUCCAAGGCCUUGAUCUUAAACCCAAAAUACAAGGUUUAAAAGGUGCUUAAAAAAACUGGUUCUUAGACAAGCAAAGACGGUAUGUUAAAAGUCUGCUCUCAAAA